GCAGAAGUAGCUCAGUGGUAGAGUGUCACAUUGCCGAUGUGAAUGCCGUGGGUUCGAAUCCCAUCUUCUGCU
rnacentral:tRNA from 1 species